UGCCAAUCACAUUUUCAUUAUUUCCUCACCAAUACUGGCAGUGGUAAUUCCUUGUACACUAAUGCAUCUUUUCCAUCCAGUUAGAUACAACUUAUGUGAAAUAAACUGCCAAGAGUCUCCUUGGAGCAUGGCUUCCUGCUUUAAGGAUUGUUCAGGGCAGCUGAUCUCCCUUCCAAGAUGGAAAUAUUGCUCUGGAAAAAAGUCUUUCAGGCCUCUUCUAGACUCAGGAAGAGUUUAAACCCCAUCCUCUGCUGGCAAGUCUCCCUUCUAAUUGCAGCACAGUGGUGCUGCCAAUGUCAUUGGGAAGUGGCUGAUAGUGGCAGGGUUCUAAAUGACAAGGCACAGAAGAAAAGCCCCUGCUCCCUGGAACCUGCUGGAGGAACAGAUAAAUGUAUGUUAAGUAUAUAAUUAGUGAGGCAGAUCUUGCAGAGGAAUCAUUGGUGCCCUUUAUGGAAAGGAUCUGUGAAUAAAAGGCAAGGGGAUGGGGGAUGCA
rnacentral:lncRNA from 1 species